rnacentral:rRNA from 1 species
GAUGAACGCUGACAGAAUGCUUAACACAUGCAAGUCUUUGGCGAAGCUGUGCUUGCACAGCCUAGCCAAGGCGGACGGGUGAGUAACGCGUAAGGGACUUGCCCUGCAGUCAGGGAUAACAGACGGAAACGACUGAUAAAACCUGAUAAAGUCAGGCGGACUCAUGUCCAGCCUGAUGAAAAGGAAUGCUGCAGGAGAGCCUUGCGUCCUAUUAGCUUGUUGGUGGGGUAACGGCCCACCAAGGCGAUGAUAGGUAGCCGGCCUGAGAGGGUGGACGGCCACAAGGGGACUGAGAUACGGCCCUUACUCCUACGGGAGGCAGCAGUGGGGAAUAUUGGACAAUGGGGGCAACCCUGAUCCAGCAAUUCUGUGUGCACGAUGAAGGUCUUCGGAUUGUAAAGUGCUUUCAGCAGGGAAGAAA